CCCUGGUUCAUCAACUAUGAGGUUCUACCUUUCUCUCCCUGGUUCAUCGACUACGAGGUUCUACCUUUCUCUCCCUGGUUCAUCGACUACGAGGUUCUACCUUUCUCUUCCUGGUUCAUCGACUACGAGGCUCUACCUUUUUCUCCCUGGUUCAUCAACUACGAGGUUCUACCUGUCUCUCCCUGGAUCAUCGACUUCGAGGUUCUACCUGUCUCUCCCUGGUUCAUCGACUUCGAGGUUCUACCUUUCUCUUCCUGGUUCAUCGACUACGAGGUUCUACCUUUCUCUUCCUGGUUCAUCGACUACGAGGUUCUACCUUUCUCUCCCUGGUUCAUUGACUACGUUGUUCUACCUGUCUCUCCCUGGUUCAUCGACUACGAGGUUCUACCUUUCUCUCCCUGGUUCAUCGACUACGAGGUUCUACCUUUCUCUUCCUGGUUCAUCGACUACGAGGUUCUACCUUUUUCUCCCUGGUUCAUCAACUACGAGGUUCUACCUUUCUCUUCCUGGUUCAUCGACUAUGAGGUUCUACCUUUUUCUCCCUGGUUCAUCAACUACGAGGUUCUACCUUUCUCUCCCUGGUUCAUUGACUACGUUGUUCUACCUGUCUCUCCCUGGUUCAUCGACUACGAGGUUCUACCUUUCUCUCCCUGGUUCAUCGACUACAAGGUUCUACCUGUCUCUCCCUGGUUCAUCGACUUCGAGGUUCUACCUGUCUCUCCCUGGUUCAUCGACUACUAGGUUCUACCUUUCUCUCCCUGGUUCAUCGACUACAAGGUUCUACCUUUCUCUCCUUGGUUCAUAUAUUACUGGGUUCUACAUGUUUCUCCCUGGUCCAUAUACUAUGAGGUUCUACCUUUCUCUCCCUGGUUCAUCAACUACGAGGUUCUAC
rnacentral:lncRNA from 1 species